AAGAAUUCAACUUUAUAUAUAGCUAAUAUAGGACAAUGGUGUAGAUUAAAAAGUACACCACUCCAGACCCUUUUGUUUUCCACAUAAUUAAUAUUGCCAAUAAUUAACAAGUUCCGGGUCGAAUCCGAUACCGAUACCAAUAGUAUAUUCAUCUGUUACCUAUUACCUGAUCUGUACGUUCCGCAUCUGACAGGCGCACCACCAAACGGUGUCUUUAGGAUUUUGCUAUAUACACGGGUCAUAAUCACAGGGUUGACACUACUAAAUUCAAUCAUUGUCAAAUUGUUCCGUAUUGUAGUAUUUUAAUCAGUAAGAAUUUCUAAGAUAACAAUACGAGUACUAAAAAUCUGGACUUAAAAUAAUGCGUAUAGGUACAGUUUUCAAUUUGUUAGCGGGC
rnacentral:lncRNA from 1 species